rnacentral:rRNA from 1 species
GACGUAGGGCGCGAGCGUUUGUCCGGAAUUACUGGGCGUAAAGAGCUCGUAGGUGGUUUGUCGCGUUGUUCGUGAAAACUCACAGCUCAACUGUGGGCGUGCGGGCGAUACGGGCAGACUGGAGUACUGCAGGGGAGACUGGAAUUCCCGGUGUAGCGGUGAAAUGCGUAGAUAUCGGGAGGAAUACCAGCGGCGAAGGCGGCCUUCUGGACGAUGACUGACGCUGAGACGCGAAAGCGUGGGGAGCAAACAGG